GGGGCUGAUUCUGGAUUCGACGGGAUUUGCGAAACCCAAGGUGCAUGCCGAGGGGCGGUUGGCCUCGUAAAAAGCCGCAAAAAAAUAGUCGCAAACGACGAAAACUACGCUUUAGCAGCUUAAUAACCUGCUUAGAGCCCUCUCUCCCUAGCCUCCGCUCUUAGGACGGGGAUCAAGAGAGGUCAAACCCAAAAGAGAUCGCGCGGAUGCCCUGCCUGGGGUUGAAGCGUUAAAACGAAUCAGGCUAGUCUGGUAGUGGCGUGUCCGUCCGCAGGUGCCAGGCGAAUGUAAAGACGGACUAAGCAUGUAGUACCGAGGAUGUAGGAAUUUCGGACGCGGGUUCAACUCCCGCCAGCUCCACCA
rnacentral:tmRNA from 1 species